rnacentral:rRNA from 1 species
AGAGUUUGAUCAUGGCUCAGGAUGAACGCUGGCGGUAUGCUUAACACAUGCAAGUCGAACGGGCUCUUCGGAGCUAGUGGCGGACGGGUGAGUAACGCGUGAGAAUCUGGCUUCAGGUUCGGGACAACAGUUGGAAACGGCUGCUAAUACCGGAUGUGCCUUAUGGUGAAAGAUUUAUCACCUGAAGAUGAGCUCGCGUCUGAUUAGCUAGUAGGUGUGGUAAGAGCGCACCUAGGCGACGAUCAGUAGCUGGUCUGAGAGGAUGAUCAGCCACACUGGGACUGAGACACGGCCCAGACUCCUACGGGAGGCAGCAGUGGGGAAUUUUCCGCAAUGGGCGAAAGCCUGACGGAGCAAUACCGCGUGAGGGAGGAAGGCUCUUGGGUUGUAAACCUCUUUUCUCAGGGAAGAAUGAUGACGGUACCUGAGGAAUAAGCAUCGGCUAACUCCGUGCCAGCAGCCGCGGUAAUACGGAGGAUGCAAGCGUUAUCCGGAAUGAUUGGGCGUAAAGCGUCCGCAGGUGGCAAUGUAAGUCUGCUGUCAAAGCGUCUGGCUCAACCAGAUAAAGGCAGUGGAAACUACAUAGCUAGAGUAAGGUAGGGGUAGAGGGAAUUCCUGGUGUAGCGGUGAAAUGCGUAGAGAUCAGGAAGAACACCGGUGGCGAAAGCGCUCUGCUGGACCUUAACUGACACUGAGGGACGAAAGCUAGGGGAGCGAAUGGGAUUAGAUACCCCAGUAGUCC